GAUGAAGAACGCAGCGAAACGCGCUAGUUAAUGUGAAUUGCAGAAUUCAGUGAAUCAUCGAGUCUUUGAACGCACAUUGCGCCCAUUGGUAUUCCGUUGGGCAUGUCUGUUUGAGCGUCAUUACAACAGUUCAGCGUAAGCUGGUUAUGAGUUCUGUUUUUUUAAACAAAAAACAGGCUUUAAAAUGUAUGUUCUGCAGGUCGCUUUGCUAAACCCUAAACAUUAAAUACUGUUCUAGUGAAGCAUUUGCGACUCUGCCUGAAAAAAAACUUUUGUUAAAGUUUGACCUCAGAUCAGACAAGGAUACCCGCUGAACUUAAGCAUAUCAAUAAGCGGAGGA
rnacentral:misc_RNA from 1 species